rnacentral:rRNA from 1 species
UGGGGAAUAUUGGACAAUGGGCGGAAGCCUGAUCCAGCCAUGCCGCGUGUGUGAAGAAGGCCUUUUGGUUGUAAAGCACUUUAAGCGAGGAGGAGGCUACUUGGAUUAAUACUCUAGGAUAGUGGACGUUACUCGCAGAAUAAGCACCGGCUAACUCUGUGCCAGCAGCCGCGGUAAUACAGAGGGUGCGAGCGUUAAUCGGAUUUACUGGGCGUAAAGCGUGCGUAGGCGGCUUCUUAAGUCGGAUGUGAAAUCCCUGAGCUUAACUUAGGAAUUGCAUUGGAGACUGGGAAGCUAGAGUAUGGGAGAGGAUGGUAGAAUUCCAGGUGUAGCGGUGAAAUGCGUAGAGAUCUGGAGGAAUACCGAUGGCGAAGGCAGCCAUCUGGCCUAAUACUGACGCUGAGGUACGAAAGCAUGGGGAGCAAACAGG